CGGCAAUUUAGGAUUUAUUUUAUACUUUUAUGAUAAAUAACAAGUGUAGAUUGUAUCGUUUUUGCAGGGUCCUUAGGGAGGGUUCUAAAUCCAGUUGCAUGCUUCCAAAAUUCCCCUUAGAGUGAAUUACUCACUCUACUCUCUUGUCAGCUUUUGUCCACAGAAAAGCUUGUUCCUCAAGGAGUCAGCCCUGAGAUGCACUUCCCCUCAGGGGUACCCUGAGAGGCAUCCUGGCUCAAGGGGAGAUUGAGGGUGCAGUCCACUGUGGUCCCUGGAAAGCUCAAAGGGCUUAGGACUACUUAGUUGCUACUAAGCAACUAGUUGCUUAGGACUACCAUUCAUAGGACUGUGAGACAACUGUUAAUACUUUUCCAUCCUGGCUACUGUUCAGAUAAGGCAAUUUUGGUAUUUUUCAUCAAUUCUGCUAUUCCCAUACCUUCCAGAAUGUACAGUUGUGGUACUCCCCAGAUCAGGCUACUGUCCAGGCUGCAGGUUUGGAGAUGCAAUCAGGGAGUGCCUGCUCAUACUCACCUGUUAUGGACAUUGUCCAUUGACAAUGGAGGACUGAUGUAACAUUAAUCAAUCUUGAACCAUAGCUGACUUGGGGGAAAGGCUACCCCACCACAGAGAUCAAGGGUUACAGCCUGCUGUGAUCCCUGGAGAGCUCAAAUUGGCUUUUCUUCAGUUGCUACAAGUUCAGGUCAUUGGCUCAUAGUCAAACUCAGGUUCCUUACCAUGUUCUGGAACUCUGAUGUGCAAGAAGCAGUCCCAUCAAGGCCUACUGUGGUUUAUAAGCCUGAGCAAGACUUAGAUCAAGUGCGGGAGUAUAGUGAACCCAUCACAGAGCCAAUGCACCAAGCAGUAUCAGACCAACAGGUAGUCACAAUAAUGUUUGAUGCAUGAUGGAGAGUACCACAGGAUUUACAACUGUUACCAGAGCUGAACUCAGUACUCCAGGUGGGGUCUCUCAAGAGCAGAGUAGAGGGGAGAAUGAAGGUGAAGUCUGGAACAAAGAGCUUUCAAUAGAGAAAAAGAGAAGGGACACCAAAUUUUCACUGAUGCAUGAGUGCAUCUGAAGACAGAACUGAAUCCCCCAUUUCAGAGAACUUCAGCGGACUAGCAAUGUACAAAAAGUGGACAUGAUAGUUUUGUGUUGAACUGUGUGUAGCUAAGCUGAUGUAUUUUAGGUGGUCUUAAUAGACGCAAGUGAGAUGACAAUCUGUAAACACAAUGAAGAGUUAGAACCAUUGCUUAAUUUCACUGAUUUAGUCAUAAUAUUGGAUCAAGUAACUCAAAGGGUCAAAGUCUCUCUUCAGAGAGAAGCCGUAAUGGAUUCAGUGGUUUCCCUGGGCAAAAAUUAAUUUGGAUUAAGUUUGUAAAGCAAAUAUUGCCUGAGUAUAUGAAGAGACAUGUUCUGACACUUUCAUAUAGUAUGCAUUUGAAGAAAAUCAGUUAAUUCAUAACAAUUAUGAUAUAUUUUUGUACAUAAUAUUAGAUUGUAUAAAUAGGAGCACA
rnacentral:lncRNA from 1 species